AUGCACACUUGUAUAAGUAUUUGGUAUUCGUGUCUGGAAGUUAUAACAGAAACCUUUGCAUUUCUUAGUCUUUUCCCUCUCUGGAUUUUGCCAGCAAACAGCAGUAGGCUAGCAGCUCUACAUGGAAUCUCCUGGCCAGCAGCUCUCACAAGGAACAAGAGUCCAGGGCAGGAGCUUCAGAAAGACUACAGGAGCCAUGUGGACUUGAGAAACACUGCUCACAAUGAUGAAGCUGAGUCACAGAAAGGUUUCCAGAAUCUGGAUCACAACUGACUGUGCUCUGGGCAUAAGAACAACUUAUACAGACAUCUCAGAAUAAAUGUUUCUUCAUCUUAUUGCACAACAUUCAAUAUGCAUUUUACAUACACGGAAAGAAAGAAAAUGAUACAGAAGCAGCUGUAACAAUAAAAAAUUUCUUGUUAUCUGCUGCAAGGGAAGAGCUUGCGCAAGCCCAAAAACGUUCCCAUCACUGCUUUCUUGACAUGAUUGCUUCUGCUCCCAACCUGGUGCUGCUUUAUUAGGAAGUAAAUAGAGAUUCCUCUGUGUCUGAGGACAGCUGUGAGCUAGAAUUUACCAAAAUGCCCUGCCAAACCCGUGUCCCACCUGACCCAGGAGAAGGAGUUUCUGCUCCACAUGUCUGCAUCAAUACCCAUCACCUGUAGGAAAUCUCCCAUCCAAAGAGAUGGGGAAGGCCCUCCCUGCAUAAAUGCUGGCCUGGAAGAAAACAAGGCUAUAAGAAGCUUGUGGUGAGCAGCCUUUGUCUUAGCCUUUGCUGAGAACAGCUUUUGGUACUCUGUAGAGCUGGAUAGCGAGGUAUCUGGCACUUGCUAUGCACAGGAAGUUGGUGUGGUGGGUCCAUUUGACCCUUUUGGAUAGGAGCAGCAUGAGUGACAGCAGUAGGUUUGCUGGGCUCCUGCUUGCAUGGGACACUGUGGUUUAUUGUGUACACACCUGGUGUAUGUUGUCCUUCUGUGCUGUUAUCACAGCUGAACAGAAAUUGUAACACCACUGUGUUACUAUUCUUGGUGCAAAUGCUAAUGGCCACCUAAGUCUAGAAAAGUAAAUAAGUUGUCCAUGAAAUGCUACAUUCCGGCUGCACUCAGCAAUGGGAAGCUGUCUUGCCUACAGCCCUCUAAUUAGUGUGCUUAUGAAUACUCAGUUUAAGUUGGGCCUUUUUCAACCUUACUUCAGUCAAAUUAAGUCUUCUUAAGUUAUAUUUUGUACAAUGGAGGCCUGAAACUUCUGCUGAUCCCUUGCAAUCUGUGUGAAGCUUGCUGGUGGUAGAUAGGACAAGUGUGAAGUUAUUUAUUUUCUGAGGUGGGGUUGUUUUUUUUUUUACCCUAAAAAAAAGCUAAAUUUCAAGAAGAGGAUAAUAUAUUCCCUUCUUUCCAGAAAUUCAUGAAGUCUUUUGCCUUCCUGGCCAUAUCAGCCCCAUGCCUUGAAAUGCUUUUGCCUAUUGGCUUGUGUGUGUGCACAUACUCCUGCUGCAAAUUUUUGUGUGUGCAUAUUUAUAUCUUGGUGGCUGUGUUGCCAAGGAGCUCUGAGAGAAAGCAGAGCUGAGAUAACUUCUAAUCCACCUUUCUGUGAUAAUGUGGCGCAAAGUGAAAAAAGCCAGGGGUCUUUCUCUGCUCUAGGUUUGGUAGACUGGGGCCUUUAACACGCACUUGAGACUUUGCUCUUUCUGUCUCAGGGUUAGUGCUUGGCAGGGGAGAAAGCAAGUAUCUGGGUAAAUGGAAACUGUAGGCCUUUGCUUGAGGGAGACUUAGAAACGGAAUGAAUGUUUCUGAUUGGGUCUGGGCAGAUGGCCACUGUCCUGUUAUCUGUGCCUUCUAUCAAAGUGCUCUGUUUAGUUUUCCUUGUCCAUCCUUUUGGAAAAGGAGUCACAGAGUUGGAGGUGUGUGAGUCCUGCCUGGGCUGCUGUUGCUUUCCUGGUUAAGAAGAGGGAUGGACAUAAAAUGAUUACCAUUCCUCAGUAGUUUUUCAAAUGUGGAAGUCCCUGUCCUUAGUUUCUGUUCCCCUGGAGGAUCUCUGGACUGUUUGCAGAGGCAGCAGGAAUCCAAAACAGGCAAUGACCUCCUGGUCCUUUCUUUCAUCACAGAAUUUUGUUGCUUUUACUCAAAGCAGAGCCCCAGUUUUCCUUAUCUGGUAGAGUGUCCAGACUGUUGGACCAUUCUGUAGUUGGGUGAUGAUCCUUUCUUCUUCUCAGAAACUCUUCUCUUGAGUUGAGACAGCCAUGCUUGAGCUGCAAUGCCUGAUGUUUAUCCAAAACCCUGCUAAAAGCAGGUUUGUUUUUGGAGUAGGCAUUGUCUGAGGAAAGUGUUCUUCAUAGCAGAAUUCUUGACUUGGCUCCUGCCUUCAUUACUUGUACAUAACAUAAUGUGUGCUUCUUGGUAGCAUGGACUUGCAGAGCUGAUUUUGCUGAUAUUACCCUUGCGCAGCAAAUAGAAAGAGACAGUUUGACAGAGAAUCUUUGAGGGAUAAUUAAUUUUUCAUUUUGACAAGGGUUUCAAUUAAGUGUGUUACCCUUCUUCAUCUUCUGGAUAUCAUGAAUAAUGGGCCAAAUGUUCCCAUGGUGUAACUGCAUUAAUGACCACAAAUAAGAUGUAAACACAUGCGCCAUCAUUUGAAGUUUUGUCAUCCAUAGGCUUUUUAGGAUGUUCAGUGCUUUUGCCUUUUCCAUCUCCAUUUGUUGUCUGGCUUGGCUUUUCGGAGUCUUAUUAGACUAUAAAGAGAGAUCUAGAAUAUGGAAUGCACACUUGGCUUCUCGCUUGUAGUGUUACUGAUAGGAUGAUAUGUUCUAUAAUUUAAUGCUUUUGAAUGGAUGCAUGCCAAUGAAAAGGCAAGGCAUUCAUACUGGUCCGUUUAUUCUCAAUAAAAAUAAAAAGCAAAUAACAAACACAGGUGACAGUUUUGUUGUACAAGCUUAGGUUAAAAGACAUCAGUGACUAAUUCUGCCACUUUCUGACACUGGGGUGUUUGGUUUUACAGCCUUUCCUUUCCACUACCGUGAUAUUUGGGUUGUAAUUUCUUACCCAUGUAACAUUUGCAACAUAUCAAGAAUAGUAAAAUAGGAUCGUGGUUCUUGCACUAGCUAAGCUCAAGAUGUAACUUAUAAGAGGUCAGAGCUCUGUUAUUGCUAUUAGACUGCAAAGGGCAUCCUCUGUGCUGACUCCAGGCUCCAGAAGGCCAGUGUGUCUUCUCUUUUUGCCUCCUGUUCCAAAAUUGCUCUUCCCAGCUGCCACUCUUCCUGCCUGUGUGUCCAUAUCUGCUUCUGUAUCUCCUUUCCUACUUGCUUUCCUCAUUCAUCUGAGCUUCAUUUUCAU
rnacentral:lncRNA from 13 species